UAUCACUGCUUUUAGCUAGACCUGGUUGA
rnacentral:piRNA from 1 species